AUUGAACGCUGGCGGAAUGCUUUACACAUGCAAGUCGAACGGCAGCACGGACUUCGGUCUGGUGGCGAGUGGCGAACGGGUGAGUAAUGUAUCGGAACGUGCCCAGUCGUGGGGGAUAACGUAGUGAAAAUUACGCUAAUACCGCAUACGAUCUCUGGAUGAAAGCGGGGGAUCGCAAGACCACGCGCGAUUGGAGCGGCCGAUAUCAGAUUAGGUAGUUGGUGGGGUAAAGGCCCACCAAGCCAACGAUCUGUAGCUGGUCUGAGAGGACGACCAGCCACACUGGAACUGAGACACGGUCCAGACUCCUACGGGAGGCAGCAGUGGGGAAUUUUGGACAAUGGGCGAAAGCCUGAUCCAGCCAUUCCGCGUGCAGGAUGAAGGCCCUCGGGUUGUAAACUGCUUUUGUACAGAACGAAGAGGUUUCUACUAAUACUAGGAGCUCAUGACGGUACUGUAAGAAUAAGCACCGGCUAACUACGUGCCAGCAGCCGCCGUAA
rnacentral:rRNA from 1 species